rnacentral:rRNA from 1 species
CGCGUAGGUGGUUUGGUCAGUCAGAUGUGAAAGCCCCGGGCUCAACCUGGGAAUUGCACCUGAUACUGCCAGGCUAGAGUACGGUAGAGGGUAGUGGAAUUUCCGGUGUAGCGGUGAAAUGCGUAGAGAUCGGAAGGAACACCAGUGGCGAAGGCGACUACCUGGACCGAUACUGACACUGAGGUGCGAAAGCGUGGGUAGCAAACA